rfam:Nestor notabilis contig88719, whole genome shotgun sequence.
GGGGAUGUAGCUCAGUGGAAGAGCGCUUGCUUCGCACGUAAGAGGUCCUGGGUUCAAUCCCCAGCAUCUCCA